UGGGGAAUAUUGCGCAAUGGGGGGAACCCUGACGCAGCCAUGCCGCGUGAAUGAAGAAGGCCUUAGGGUUGUAAAGUUCUUUCGGUAUUGAGGAAGGUUGAUGUGUUAAUAGCACAUCAAAUUGACGUUAAACACAGAAGAAGCACCGGCUAACUCCGUGCCAGCAGCCGCGGUAAUACGGAGGGUGCGAGCGUUAAUCGGAAUAACUGGGCGUAAAGGGCACGCAGGCGGUUAUUUAAGUGAGGUGUGAAAGCCCCGGGCUUAACCUGGGAAUUGCAUUUCAGACUGGGUAACUAGAGUACUUUAGGGAGGGGUAGAAUUCCACGUGUAGCGGUGAAAUGCGUAGAGAUGUGGAGGAAUACCGAAGGCGAAGGCAGCCCCUUGGGAAUGUACUGACGCUCAUGUGCGAAAGCGUGGGGAGCAAACAGGAUUAGAUACCCUGGUAGUCCACGCUGUAAACGCUGUCGAUUUGGGGGUUGGGGUUUAACUCUGGCGCCCGUAGCUAACGUGAUAAAUCGACCGCCUGGGGAGUACGGCCGCAAGGUUA
rnacentral:rRNA from 1 species